AGACCCGUGUGGGGGGGCAAGCCGGAAGUGGCAGCAGCAGCUGGAGCAGCUGGUGGCAGAGGCUGGGGGUCCAUGCAGUCAGUAAAACCCAAGAGCUUUCAGCAUGAUCCCAAGCUUCAGUCCGGUGGUCCAGGCGCUGCUCGGGACUUUAUUUACCUGGGGGCUGACAGCUGCUGGCUCGGCGCUAGUCUUUGUGUUUUCCAGCGGCCAGAGGCGGAUCCUGGACGGAAGCCUGGGCUUUGCUGCAGGGGUAAGUGCU